GGAGUUGGGAAGAAGAAGUUAUCCCACUUUUAAAUCAGGUGAUUCCAGUUUCCCAGUUUUGGAAUAGCACAGCUUCUUUGUCGUUCCAAUCAAACCAGGAUGAAUCACUUUGUAAUAAUCUUGAUUUGGAUACAUAAAGUGGUGGAGAAUCACCAGGAAGUUGAAUAAAUCUCAUAGGAGUUGGGAAGAAGAAGUUAUCCCACUUUCAAAUCAGGUGAUUCCAGUUUCCCAGUUUGGGAAUAGCACAGCUUCUUCGUCGUUCCAAUCAAACCAGGAUGAAUCACUUUGUGAGAAGCUUGAUUUGGAUACAUAAAGUGGUGGAGA